rnacentral:rRNA from 1 species
AUACGGAGGGUGCGAGCGUUGUUCGGAAUUAUUGGGCGUAAAGAGCAUGUAGGCGGUCUGUUAAGUCUGGUGUGAAAGCCCGGGGCUCAACCCCGGAAGUGCAUUGGAUACUGGCAGACUUGAGUAUGGGGGAGGAAAGCGGAAUUCCGAGUGUAGGAGUGAAAUCCGUAGAUAUUCGGAGGAACACCAGUGGCGAAGGCGGCUUUCUGGACCAAUACUGACGCUGAGAUGCGAAAGCGUGGGGAGCAAACAGGAUUAGAAACCCCUGUAGUCC